rnacentral:rRNA from 1 species
GACGAACGCUGGCGGCGUGCUUAACACAUGCAAGUCGAACGGUAAGGCCCUUCGGGGUACACGAGUGGCGAACGGGUGAGUAACACGUGGGUGAUCUGCCCUGCACUUCGGGAUAAGCCUGGGAAACUGGGUCUAAUACCGGAUAGGACUCCUGGCUUCAUGGUGGGGGGUGGAAAGCUUUUGCGGUGUGGGAUGGGCCCGCGGCCUAUCAGCUUGUUGGUGGGGUAAUGGCCUACCAAGGCGACGGCGGGUAGCCGGCCUGAGAGGGUGACCGGUCACACUGGGACUGAGAUACGGCCCAGACUCCUACGGGAGGCAGCAGUGGGGAAUAUUGCACAAUGGGCGCAAGCCUGAUGCAGCGACGCCGCGUGAGGGAUGACGGCCUUCGGGUUGUAAACCUCUUUCAGCACCGACGAAGCGCAAGUGACGGUAGGUGCAGAAGAAGGACCGGCCAACUACGUGCCAGCCGCCGCCGUAA